ACCUGCAUCGAAAGUGAUUGUGGUACUGUUUGUGUCCCAGUCAUUGAUACUGCAGGAAUAGUAGCUUGUGAAAAGCAUUUCCCGUGUUUGGGGUUAUUAUUUGUAGCUUUUCAAACCCUGAGGCUUUCACACA